GCUCAGUUGGUUUAGAGCAUCUGCCUUACAAGCAGAGGGUCGAAGGUUCGAAUCCUUCAGGGUCC
rnacentral:tRNA from 1 species